rnacentral:lncRNA from 1 species
CUUUUUGUCUUUUCUAGGGCCAUACCCGCGGAUUAUGGAGGGUCCCAGGCGAGGGGUCCAAUUAGAGCUGUAGCCACCAGCCUAUGCCAGAGCCACAGAAAUGCCAGAUUCAAGCCACGUCUGCAACCUACCCCACAGCUCAUGGCAAGGCCAGAUCCUUAACCUACUGAGUGAGGCCAGGGAUCAAACAUGCAACCUCAUGGUUCCUAGUCGGAUUCGUUAACCACUGAGCCAUGACCGGAAUGCCUCCCUGUUUUAUUCUUAAUUUAAUUUACAUUAAGUGAUAUCAUCUGACUUGUGACCCCCCCAAAUUGUUGUGGGGUCCUAACCCCCAACACCGGAGAAGGCGGACUCACUUGGAACCCGGGUCCUUGACACCGACAGGCUGAGUUCUGCUCAGUGCACAUCGACAACUUCAGGGAUGGGAGCCCCGGUUUGCCUCAAAGACACACAAGAGCCCAACUCUUAACAUAAAGGUCAGAUCCCUGCUGUUCACUGCCCUGAAAACCGUCCUCUCGAUCCGAGAAGGCGGCGGCAGACAAGCCCGUCUGCGACCGAGGCUCCCGUCCCCCAGCCCCGCGGGCCAAAGCGGGGGCCGGCCCACCGGCCGCAAUCUCCCUGGAACCGCAGCAAGCGCAGCAGGGCAGAGAGACGGAGGGUGCUGCCACCUGCUAGGACGCAUGUGCCAGCGAGGCUGUGACAACUGUGGGGGAUGCAGGGCUCAUUCUCCACACCAGCUCCAUUUCCUGAGAACCCCAAAUCCACCACCAACCUCCCAACAAUCAACAACAGUUCCUGUACGAGGCUUUGGAAGAGAUCGAGCAAACUCUGAAGGCCCCGAGUGCCAGCCCAGACAAAGGCGGCUUGAGGGCAGGGAUGGCGGACGCAGUCUGUCCACGCGGACACCGCGAACACUGCCGAGCCUCUGGGGAGGGGGGGCCCAGCCCCAGCCCCAGCCGACAGCCGGGUGCCACUCCCCUGCUGCAGGCCACCUGCUCCCCGGCAGCAGACGCUCUGGCAGAUCCAGCAGGGGGCUGCGGGAGGGGCCUGGGCACUUGGAAAGAGCAGACCCGCCAGCCUCCCGCAUGAAAGGCCGCUCCGCUUCUAAAGCACUAACGGCCACAGAAUGUUCUUGUGUUCUUCCAGUGCAUCAGAAAAGGCAGCAUCAGAUCAAAGGGUCAUGGGUCUGGGCAAAAGGGCCGGGAACAGACAGUGGCCACAUAGGCCCCAGUCCUCUGGCCACGGCCCGGCCUUCCCCUUGGAGCACAAACCGGCGGCAUCACCCUCGCCCAAGCUCGUGGGCUGGUCCAGGACGCAGGACUCCACCUGGCUCCCAAACGCUGCCCAGAAGAGACCACCUUGGGGGCACGCUGCUCACCUCAAGCCCACUGUCCGUCCUCUGGACUGGGGACACAGAGCUCACGGGCCACCAUAAAUGCAGUUUGUUGUCGAAAUAAAACUGGAGUCACGCUUCCAAAAAGAAGCAUCUAACGGUCUCGCCUCUCCACACCACCCAGGGUGUCACACCCCAGGCCACCGUCACAGGUUCUCAGGCAGCACCACCCACCUGGCGAGCCUGGUGAGGCUGCUGAGGCCAAGAGGGAGGGAACCUUCAGGAAAACGACCUGUCAUCUCUCUGUGAGGACAUUUCCAAGGGAGCUUCAGAGCAGCUUUGCCUGCAGAUUCCGGGCUCGCAGUGAUUUCACCCGCUUGAGACACAGCUCCCACGCGGAGCAGCGGGAAGAGAAAGCAAGCGUCGGUGCAAGAGCCGCUGCGGAGCCUGUCCUCACCCAGGACGGCAAGCAGCCUGCCCGGGACAGACCCCAUUCAAGGCAAGGCUGCCCUUCGGUUCUUUCUCUGUCUUUCUGCCUUUCCUAGGGCUGCACCCGCGGCUCACGGAGAGUCCCAGGCUAGGGGUCCAACUGGAGCUGUAACCGGCGGCCCCAGCACAGCAACGCGGGCUUCGAGCUGAGUCUGUGACCCACACCGCAGCUCACGGCAACGAGGCAGGGAUCCAACACGAGUGCCCGUGGAGCCCGAUGGGACUGCCUGCCCUUAGCAUCUUAGAGGCCAUUCCCAGGAGCCCUGGGGACCCACACCAGCCCCAGCACGAGGGUCCCGGGACUGUGCGACGCGUGGGGUGCACCGCGGCGAACCUCAACACUCCGACCGGACGAGGCCAGGCUGCACCUGGCUGUGUGUGUCCUGACCCCCCUCUGACCACAGCGCAGGACCGGCCCGAGGCUCUGAGGGCACAGCCAUGCCCCAGCCCGCCCGCGGGGAAGGCCCCGUCAGGAACACUCAGUUCGCAGGCACUGGCAGCGAGUCCUGGGGGAGCAGCCAAGGCCGCCGGUGCGAAGGCGCCCCCCGGGCCGUGGGGAGAGGACAGCUGAAGAGGGAGAGAGACCCCCCUGGUGGGAGGGCCAGGGUGACGGACACACGAGGACAGCGGGUGCAGCCGCCAUCUGCCUGGAUGGCAGAUGAGGACAAAGCCUUCCUGGAAGACAGGCCUGGCCGCCUCUCUAGCUCACAGGGCAACCGUGCGCCUGAGCCAGGACACAGGACAACGCCACGCGUCCCGGGGCAGAGGCGGCGCUCCCAGGGGUGCAGAACGAGAAGAGGUGGGGGAGCAGGCAGGCUGGGGAGGCCCAGAGAGAGCAGGGCUCAGACGGAGCAGGCAGGCCACAGGCAGGCCCUGUGCCCAGAGGCUCUGCGGGGAGCGAGGAGGAGGUCGAGGAGGCCUGGUGGCCCUGCCACCGCACCCCAAGGGCAACGGCCCCACCUGACCAGCGUCAGGGCCAGAGAGCAAAGACGCCGCCUCCACGGUCUGCAGGCUACAACUCAUCUUCCGCUGAACUGCUCAAUGACUACAUCAGUGAAGAGCCCACGGAGCAGAAGCUCGGAGCAGCAAGCGAAGCUGUCCCCCCAGCCACAGAGGUCACCGCAAACACAGACAGCAGGAGCCGCUGGCACCCAGGCAGCCACAGCCAUGCCGGUGAGACUCCGAGGGCACUGCCAGCUUCUCCAGGGGCCGCGGGUCCAGCGACGACUCUGCGGCGACUGGAAAAGGUGUGAACAGACAAGAGAAGCAAAAGACAGCAGGUUCGGGACCUUCAAACGGGCUCUGUCGUGAACCAAGGGACGCGGACCCAGGUCCUGCCUGGGCCUGUGCAGCUCAUUAAGCACAGGAACCUGCCCAAGGCGAAGCGGUGCCCCCCGCCCGGCGCCUGGGCCAGACUCGCAGCCAGGCGCCAGCAAGUGCGCUCCCUCUUUAGCGAGAGAAGGGCCCCGAGACCCACUCACUCUGCCUGCGAUCGGCUCUGGAGCCCUGAAAGCCCAACUACUCCCCAUCCUCCAGGCCUGGGGGCUGAGCAUAAAGCGCGGACGUGCUAUUGAUUCCUUGGGGUGUGUGCGGGGAGAAGAGGACCUAAGCAGAGGUACUGGCCGUCUGUGCCUCUCACAGACAUCAAGGCUUCUGAAGGGUACAAACCAGCCGGCAGUGCCAGCGCACAGGGGCCAGGCGACACAGAGGCCCCAACCCGGAGACCCCUGAGCAGAAGCCUGGAGUAGCCCCCACCGGAGAAGAAAGCCAGAGAGGUGUCCUGCAGGUUGGGGUAAAAAGAACAGCCUCAACACAAAGAAAAGGGAUUUUUAAUGAAAAGCGAGAGGGUUUUAGCCUAAGGAGGUCAGAUGAGCUUACGCACCUGAUUACAGCUCUCCCUCUCGCUCCUCCAGCCCUCGGGUU